UACAGAGGGGGCAAGCGUUGUUCGGAAUUACUGGGCGUAAAGGGCGCGUAGGCGGCCUGUUAAGUCGAACGUGAAAUCCCCGGGCUCAACCCGGGAACUGCGUCCGAUACUGGCAGGCUUGAAUCCGGGAGAGGGAUGCGGAAUUCCAGGUGUAGCGGUGAAAUGCAUAGAUAUGACAUAGAACACCAAUUGCGAAGGCAGCUGGCUACACAAAUAUUGACGCUGAUGCACGAAAGCGUGGGGAUCAAACAGG
rnacentral:rRNA from 1 species